CGAAGCUACUAAGAAUGGUGAC
rnacentral:siRNA from 1 species